rnacentral:rRNA from 1 species
AUUGAACGCUGGCGGCAGGCUUAACACAUGCAAGUCGAGCGGAGCGCCUGACGGGCGAGUAAUGCCUAGGAAUCUGCCUGGUUCUGGGGGAUACCGUCCGGAAACGGGCGCUAAUCCCGCAUACUAUCAGAUGAGCCUAGGUCGGAUUAGCUAGUUGGUGGGGUAAAGGCCUACCAAGGCGACGAUCCGGAACUGGUCUGAGAGGAUGAUCAGUCCAAUGGGACCUGAGACACGGGCCAGACGCCUAUGGGAGGCAGCGGUGGGGAAUAUUGGACAAUGGGCGCAAGCCUGAUCCGGCCGUGCCGCGUGUGUGAAGAAGGUCUUCGGAUUGUAAAGCGCUUUAAGUUGGGAAGCGUUACCAACAGAAUAAGCACCGGAUAACUGCGUGCCAGCAGCCGCGGUAAUAC